rnacentral:pre_miRNA from 10 species
GCUUUGUCGGAAAGUUUCGUGCCAACCGAAUCACCAACCACGUAGUAUCGGAGCAUUGUGUGUCUAAUACUGCCUGGUAAUGGUGAUUGGGUGGAUACGUACGAGCAGCAAUUAGCAC